ACUCUCAGGUGCGGAGAAGCCCUCCCCUCACGAGGAACUGACAGCCUGACUUUUGCAUUUCAGCUGCUGGAGGAUGAACAGUGCUACCAACUGGGGGCCAUCAAGAGCUGCCAGGCAGCUGAGCUCAGGGGGCCCGGAUUCCUGAAGUGCUCCAAGCAGGGGACGGCCCAAGCCAUUCUGGACAUCUUGGGGCCCCUGGAGCACUUCAGGGAUCGCCCCCUGACCCUGGCCCUUGCCUUGGAGGCCCUCCUCUAGCUAAGCACCAUGAGGCCCAAAUUCAGCUGCGAUAUGAUCAGUGCCAUCCUGCACAGGACGUUGGAGGCCGUGCUGAAUGGGGCCGAGGAGGAGAGA